AUGGCGAGUUUGAUCCUGGCUCAGAGCGAACGCUGGCGGCGUACUUAACACAUGCAAGUCGAACGAGGAUCGUCAGUGUAGCAAUACAUCGGCGGUUCUAGUGGCGCACGGGUGAGUAACACGUGGGUAACCUGCCCUUGAGUUCGGGAUACCCUCUCGAAAGGGAGGCUAAUACCGGAUACGUUCCUCGGGUUGCGAAAUCUGAGGAGGAAAGGUGGCGAAAGCUGCCGCUCUUGGAGGGGCUCGCGGCCUAUCAGCUAGUUGGUGAGGUAACGGCUCACCAAGGCUAUGACGGGUAGCUGGUCUGAGAGGACGACCAGCCACACGGGAACUGAGACACGGUCCCGACUCCUACGGGAGGCAGCAGUGGGGAAUUUUCCGCAAUGGGCGAAAGCCUGACGGAGUGACGCCGCGUGGGGGACGAAGGCCUUCGGGUUGUAAACCCCUGUCAGAGGGAAAGAAGGGUGUCGGCGCGAUAACCGCCGGCACUUGACGGUACCUUCAGAGGAAGCCCCGGCCAACUCUGUGCCAGCAGCCGCGGUAAGACAGAGGGGGCAAGCGUUGCUCGGAAUCACUGGGCGUAAAGGGCGCGUAGGCGGGAUGGCAAGUCAGUCGUGAAAUCUCUCGGCUCAACCGAGAAACGUCGGCUGAUACUGCCGUUCUUGAGGGAUGCAGAGGAGACUGGAAUUCCCGGUGUAGCGGUGAAAUGUGUAGAGAUCGGGAGGAACACCGGUGGCGAAGGCGGGUCUCUGGGCAUCUCCUGACGCUGAGGCGCGAAAGCGUGGGGAGCAAACGGGAUUAGAUACCCCGGUAGUCCACGCUGUAAACGAUGACGACUAGGUGUGGGGGGGUUCAGUCCCUUCCGUGCCGCAGCUAACGCA
rnacentral:rRNA from 1 species